rnacentral:lncRNA from 1 species
ACACCUUAUAAAGACAUGAACGAAGACUUCCAGAAGUGCUUCACGGAGUGACAGGAACAGUGGGAUGAGUGUGUUCCAGGUUUCAACAUUUUUGUUUGUCUUCUCACACCAUCGUUUUCUACAUACAGCGCC